rnacentral:rRNA from 1 species
AUUUAUUAGAUAAAAAGCCAGUUCAUGCUUUUAUAGUAUGAAAAUUGGUGAUUUAUAAUAACUUAGCAAAUCGCAAAGUGAAAACAGGCGAUAAAUCAUUCAAGUUUCUGACCUAUCAGCUUUCGACGGUAUGGUAUUGGCUUACCGUGGCAGUGACGGUUAACGGGGGAUUAGGGUUCGAUUCCGGAGAGGGAGCCUGAGAAACGGCUACCACAUCUAAGGAAGGCAGCAGGCGCGCAAAUUACCCAAUUCUAACAGUUUGAGAGAGGUAGUAACAAGAAAUAACAAUACAAGGCAGUUAAAAUGCUUUGUAAUUGGAAUGAUAGAAAUUUAAACCCUUUUUAAAGUAUCAAUUGGAGGGCAAGUCUGGUGCCAGCAGCCGCGGUAAUUCCAGCUCCAAUAGCGUAUAUUAAAAUUGUUGCAGUUAAAAAGCUCGUAGUUGAAGUUCUGCUGAAAGUAACCGGUCUGCUUUUAAUAAAAGUGGUAUCUUGGUAUGUAUUUAGCAAUGAUGUCCUUUGAAGUGUUUUUUACUUUAUUGUAAUAAAGCAUAUUCAGGACUUUUACUUUGAGAAAAUUAGAGUGUUUCUAGCAGGCUAACGCUUUGAAUACUGCAGCA